rfam:Myotis davidii contig104908, whole genome shotgun sequence.
GGCCUGGAAGCUCAGUUGGUUAGAGUGUUGGCCUGAUACACCAAGGUUGCAGGUUCAAUCCCUGGUCAGGGCA